rnacentral:rRNA from 1 species
GAUCAUGGCUCAGGAUGAACGCUAGCUACAGGCUUAACACAUGCAAGUCGAGGGGCAGCAUGAAAGGAACUUCGGCUCUUUUUGAUGGCGACCGGCGCACGGGUGCGUAACGCGUAUCGAACCUGCCUCAUACUCGGGGAUAGCCUUGCGAAAGUAAGAUUAAUACCCGGCGGUCUCGGAUGGCCGCAUGACUAUCCGAGUGAAGAUUUAUCGGUAUGAGGUGGCGAUGCGU